AAUCAUUGAGAAGCUUUUGCUUAAAGAUCCAAGUGUGAGAUUGAUCCUCUUUUAAAUCCCAGAAGGAUGAGUCUUUUAUUACGUUGUUUUGGAUCCAUGCUAUCCAUAUUGACUCUGGUUUGAAGAAAAGCGUCCAAAGGAGCUGGAGGAGACAUGUUCUGUUCCAGACUCAAAUAUUUUUGAGGCCUAACCCACCUUCUGAUUUAGGACUAGUAACAGAGUCUCAGGCUACUCUAGCAUUGUAUCUACCAUCCAGUGAUCCCUUCCAAAGGAGAGGCUCACAAUUGAGUAGGAAAAGUUUCUUUGUGUUUAGAGGGAGACCCAAAUAUCUUAUGGGGAGGAAACCUUGAGCAAUACGUGAGGAGGUGAUAAGGACAGAAGUUUCAUCAAUAUUGAGACCAGCUGAGAAGAAACAAGAUUUUCCACGCUUAUUGCAAGGCCUGAGAUCGCUUGGAACUCUGAGAGAACCGUCAGGAUCCCUUGAAUUGAUGGCAAUGAUUCGUUGGUGAAGAUAAGGAUAUCAUCCGCAAAGCACAAAUGCAACGUUCAUUGCCAGACCAAAGAUAUAUGGACUGAGCGGAUCACCCUGACGGAUGCCACGAGUACCUCGAAAGAAACCAUGGAGGGAUCCAUAAAUGCCCACUGAGUAUGCGGUGGAAGUGAGACACUCCUUUAUUUGUGCAACGAAAGAGUGAGGCAUGUUCAAAGAGUUCAAGCAAGCUAUUAUGAAAUCCCACUUUAUGGAAUCAAAUGCCUUGGCAAUAUCCACCUUCAAGAUAAGUCUCUUUGGCCCUAUGUUUUUUUGGUCUCCACUGAUUAUUUCGGAUGAUAGUAGGCAAUUCUCCAUAAGUAAUCUGCCCUUGAUGAAAGCUGACUGGUUAGGUAAAAUGAUUGCUGGGAUAAUCGGUUUUAGACGACUCACUAGCAUUUUGGCUAUCCCUUUAUAUAGUGUAUUGCAACAUGAUAUUGGCCUAUAAUCCUUGAUUAUAGUUGCUCCUGGGAAUUUAGGAAUGAGGGUGAGAAUAGCCGAAUUUGUAGCUGUUGGCAUAGAGGUUUCUUUAAAAAAAUUCAGAAUGGUCGUAGUAACCUCAUUCCCAAUUACUGUCCAUGAACAGCUGUAGAAUCUUGAAGUAAAACCAUCUGGUAAUGGGCUUUUAUUAGGAUUUAGCUUGAAUAGCGUUCUCAUAAUUUCAUCUGUUGUUGGCAGGACAUAAAGAGACGAUCUUUCAAGGUCAGAACAACUGAAUGGAGAUAAAGCUUGGACAGAUUCUAGGAGACCAGGCACAAUCAGGGAGAGCGGAGGACUAAGAAUAAGCCUGAAGUGAUGCACUGCUAAGAAACAUACAGCUUUAGGGGAAGUUAUAGUGAUGUCGUUGAGGUCAGUGAGAGCAUGGAUUGCAUUGUAAAAACUCCUAGUGACUGAGACUUUGAAGAAGUAGCUUGUGUUUUGAUUGCCCAGAUUAAGCCACUGGAUUCGAGAUUUCUGAUGGAAAUACACAUCCUCAACCUUUUCAGCAUAUUCAGUUUCUCUUUACACAACUUUUCUUCAAAAGAAGUCGCUUCAGUGGGGUUUGAGAAGGAGAUAACUUGAAGGACCUUCAGAUGUUCCAUAGUUUCACCAACUCGUUUUUGUAUCCAUGAGAAAUUAUCUUUGUUGAGACUUCUCAAGGUUUGUUUUAGCACCUUCUGCAUUUUGCUGAGGCGAGAUAAAGACCAGCCAGCUGGGUCAGAAGAUUCCCAUCCAGAGAUGACCGAGUGCAGUAAGCCUGGAUGACUCGUUAGAUAGUUGAAGAACUUAAACGGCUUCGAGCCAGCAAUAGGCAAGGCACAGUUUAAGUUCACAAGCCCUGGAGAAUGAUCAAAGAAGUCUGUUGCAAGAAAGUGAGCUAGACUUGCCGGAAAAGAAAGAAUCCAAGAUUCAUUUGAGAGGAUUUUGUCCAGCUUCUUAGCAGUGGGGGCCAAAGGCCGCUUGUUAGACCAUGUAAAGAUGGGACCAUGGUAUCGAAGAUCCCGGAUUUAAAGAUCAUCCAAGCAUUGUCUAAAUUCGAUCACGGGAGGAUAAAUGCCAUCGAAGGCUGGAGAUGAAUUCUCUGCGUGGUGGAUGAUUUCAUUAAAGUCACCCCCAAAAAUCCAAGGCAAGGCAAGGAGUGAAGCGAGUGCCCAUUUAGCAUGUGCCCAUUUAGCAUGAGGGCAUCUUGCUUCUAAAUGACAGAGUUGCUUGCAGCAAGUGCAAGAAGGAGGAACCCAAGGAUAAGUUACCGAUAUUGGUAUAAUUGAGCCAUCAUCCCUGAGCAGCUCAACCAGUGGAGGGAGAGGCUUUGUGCAGUAUGCACGCACUUUAAGAUGGGCUACGUCCAAGCUGAUCAUACGAAUAGUAAAUUCAUUUGCUUCUACUGGUGUCCUAUCAAACCAGCCACAAGGCUGAGCCCUUCUCUGGUAUAGAGAUCAAAAGGAACACCUCUUACAUGAGCCCAUAGGGGAAUAGAGUCCAUGGUAGGAGGAGAGAUGGCCAGAUCAGCACUCUAUUAAGCAACGUAGAACAUAGAUGAUCUAAUGUGCCUUAUUUCAUGUUCUACUAUUCUGGCUCAAAGGUCAAAAGAAAGGAUCUUGACCAAUUUACCACAAUAACAAUAUUGGAUAGAGGCAUACAAACUUUUAUUUGUUGAUUUCAUGUGGGUCAGUUGACCCCCAUGCCUCCAACGUGGCUCCGCCACUGGAUGCACUGAUGGUGGACAUGCCUUUGAUACUUGUUGUCUCGAAAUUGAAGUCAAAGGCUGAUGAUAUGCUUCAGAAGUUUGAUAAGUAUUGGGCUGGUAUGAAGAACAUCAAUAAGAUGUUGAUUGUAGCAACGGUAUUUGAUCCUAGGAAAAAUAUGCAGUUUGCAAAAAUGUGUUUUGAGAAGCUCUAUGGGAAAGAGAGUUCAGAUGCUAAGGAGAUGUAUCAGUCUCUGGUUGAUGUUUUGCGCUUCAUGUUUAAGGAGUACAGUGCAAGGUUUGACAGAGGUGAAGCAUUUCAAGCGUCUCAAACCACUCCAGCUGCAUCUUUUGGUAGCCAAGAAGCCUCUUUCGAAAGAAUCAAUUUGAUCAACAAUGAGAUCGGGUAUGAAAGGAUGGAUUUCAUGUAUGAGGAGUUGGUUGGAGAAAUCGAAGAUCGAGAAUCUAAGGGUGAGUUGGAUACUUAUCUAAGGGGGAGUGUUGUCAAUCCGAGAACCAUGCUUGGAGUUGAGUAUGAUGUUUUGUCUUGGUGGAAGUUCAAUGCCAAAGUUCCCGGUUCUUGCAGAAAUUGCAAAAGAUGUACUUGCAAUGCAAGUCUCGUCAGUUGCUUCUGAGAGUGCUUUUAGCACUUCUGGUCGUAUCAUUGAUUCAUACAGGAGCUGUCUCACUCAUUACAUGGUCGAAGUAUUGAUGUGCUCAGAGCAAUGGCUAAAGGCAGACAUUCGAUGUGGUGAUGCAAGGCUGGUGACAAUGGAAUAGAUUCUCAGUGACUUUGAAUAUGAAGACAAGCUUAAGAAAGAGUAUGAUAAUCUGAGCUUGCAAGAAGACUAAGAAAGUGUGCACUGUGUGGUCCCUGUGUCUUCGGUUUCAAGGAUAUUUUCGGAGUGUGGUGAAGUUUUUUCUGGUCAAGUUUGGAUGGUGAAGUUCUUUCUGCUGAAGUUUGGAUGGUGAAGGCUUUUGUUUUUUCUAGGUUCGGUCUGAGUCUGAGACAUUAGUUCUCUGUGUUUCUUUGUUUUUUUUAUGUCAUUGUUGAACACAAUUUUUCUCUGAAUGUUGUUGUUCUCAAUUUAUAUUAUCGGAAAUGGAAUGUUGUUUGUU